rnacentral:rRNA from 1 species
GACGUAGGGCGCGAGCGUUGUCCGGAUUUAUUGGGCGUAAAGAGCUCGUAGGCGGCUCGUUGCGUCGGCUGUGAAAAACCCGCAGCUCAACUGUGGGCUUGCAGCUGAUACGGGCGGGCUGGGAUUCGGUAGGGGAGACUGGAAUUCCUGGUGUAGCGGUGAAAUGCGCAGAUAUCAGGAGGAACACCGGUGGCGAAGGCGGGUCUCUGGGCCGAUAUCGACGCUGAGGAGCGAAAGCCAGGGGAGCAAACGGG